CCUUAAUGGGCACAGGAGGAUUAAAUAAUGCAUGAGGGAUGUGCUGACAAGUCUGUCAGACUUAAACUUUGGAACAUGCAGAACAUGCCUCAGAGUCUCAGGAGCAAUGGGCCGGAUGAGAGGGAAAUGGAUGAAGCUGGAAACCAUCAUUCUCAGCAAACUGACACAAGAACAGAAAAUCAAAUACAGCAUGUUCUCACUCACAGGCAGGCAGCACGUGAGUGAAGUGAGAGGGAGUGGAAGAGAACAAUGAUGGGAAUGGAAGAAUGAAGAAGAGGUGAGUCCCAACAUGAGAGAAAGAAAAGAAUGGACCUUGAAGCUUUUGCUGGUGGAUGAAGAAGGAAAGACUCUGUACCCAGCACAUGUUUGGCCACGUGACGCGAGAAAAGAUCAAGGAAUUUAACCUUUGAUAUGAGUCAUCUAAAACAAUACAGACAGCAAGACUACCCAUCACAGCCUCUGGAAAAGGCACCUGACUAGACAAGCUUUUGCCUGAUGGAUGUGGACUAAUCUCAAAGAACAAAUGUUUCAUUGUGAAUUAUGUUUUGACCACAUGCCAACAGUUGACAGCAUUUAAAGAACUGCAGAGGUUUUUAAAGAGUUUUUCAAAUGUUCUCAUCACAGAACUCUCCAAGGGCAGAUACACAUUUCAAAAACAACACACUGAAGAAAACACACACAUACACACACACACACACUGACCCAAACAUAGUAAAACGUGAUCACAAAAACAAGUAACUCUUGGUAAAUUUAAUUCUUCAUUGGCCUUUCUACGCACAAACAUCCUACUAUUGGCCUUAACAUCUAACCAAGCCCCAGUUUAUAUAGUAAGAAAUAGGAUAUUCUAAAAUUCUGUCUUCUUAGAAAUCAGUCUUACACACGUGAAAUAGGAAUUUUAUCUACUUAGCAAAUGUAUUUUUCUCAACCAAAUUUUCUGCCCUAAAAGCACCAAUAUCUAUGGAGAACAUAGUAUAAACUAUAAAUUGAGUGUUAUCAUUGACUCUGCUACCUCCCACUUUAGAUAUAUCUUGUAACUGUUUUUGUGAUUUGCCAACAUGGGGUAUAAAAUAAUGCUGAAUCUUUUUUAAAUAUUCAAAUUAAAUAACUCUGAGC
rnacentral:lncRNA from 13 species